rnacentral:misc_RNA from 1 species
CGCUUCACACCCCACCGUCGCCGAGUCUCAGAAAGAGCUACAGGUUUGCGCAGCUGCUUCACAGAGUCUGCCGCACAGAAGCGCCGGUACGAUAUGGGAACCCCGAGGCUGACUGCGCUCGUCUCUCGCUGCCGCAAGCCGAUCUUCACGGCUGCGGAAGACGUCGCUCUGACUUCGGCAGCGCUGCUGGACCUUACACUCUACCUGGACGCCCGCGAGACACGAGAGUGCCUCGUGCCACUGAAAAAGUUUGCGCGGCACAGCCCUGAGACUUUGCAGGCAGCAUUGGACAGCACCGAUGUUAGCCCAGGGGCAGCCGACGAUGGACGGCGUUUUGCUGCUGUUUCGCGCGUUAUCCCCACAUCCAAGUCUGCAGUGGCGACGGCGCUGUGGUCACGAGUCGUCAGCACCACUACCCGCGCCUUGGAGGCCGGUGUGUGGACCCCGUCGGACCUGCGGGUGAUAAUAAACCACAUUCGCCGGUUCAGCGCAUACGACGCGUCCUUUGUGGAGUGUGCCGCACGCUAUGCAGGUGCGGCUAUUCCGUGUGCCAGCGCCGAUGACCUACCGGCGCUUGUGUCGAUCGUGACGUCUCUCCCUGAGCUAGUAGCGCACCCGACGAGGCUGCUGGACGCUGCUGGGGAUCGAGCUGCGGUCCUCGCAGAGUCUCUUACCCCUGGCGCGGUUGGGCACAUCUGCGGCCAAUUGAAUCGCAGCCUUUGCACCAACACAAACGCAGUGAUUGCGUUUCAGGAGGAGGCCGGCCGAUGCGCGGAGAAGGGCGAUAUUUUUACGUCUGUGCAGCUGAUGUGCUUCGUGGCACGGCACAAACCUGCACUUAUCAGCGGCGAGGCGGUGGUGUGGCUGAUGGAGCGUAUCACUGGCGAAGAGCUGGACGUGAGGUCGCUAGAGAAUCUGUGCAGCGCUGUGGUGCACUUGCCGCUUGCAGUGCGCACUGCGCUUCGGCAGGAGCUGAUAGAGUUUGUGGCGUUCUUGUCCUUGCAGGCCCGCGAGCUGCUGCAGCAGGUGCCUGCGGCACAGGGCGGGCUGAGCGGGUGCCACGACGCUGAUGCAAUUCAGUACUUUGUAUCGCAUGUCUUGGAACUGAGCGUGAUGCUCCGCACCUACCCGGAUCUGCAGUGGCCACCCGAGUUUCUCGCUGCUGCGGACGCGUGCGCUGCCAGUGUGGAGCCGCUGCAGGAGGCGCUGCUAUCUGCGGAGAGCUCGCCUGUGGGGCUUAUGGUGCGCCUGUUAGAGGCGCCAACAGAUGAGUGCAAGCGGGUGGGCCUGGCAAUGCUGCGCGAGGCGGCGAACCAGUGCCAGUCGUUUGCGACCCUUCAAACAUUUCGAUUUCUUCUUCUCAUGGGCGACCACGGCCUGCAGGACGUGGGCACGUCCCGCUACUUGCGCGACCAGUUUGCGAAAACGGCCGCGGAUGUUCCGCCUGUGCAGUUGAGCGUGGCGCUGCGCUGCCUCGGCGUCGCGACGGCAGGUGCGGCAACGCAGGGUACCAGCAGCGCAGGCGAGCUCCGUACCACCGUAGAGGGCGUCGCGGGCGAUGCCGAUGUUGACGAUGAGCUGGAGCGCGAACGUCUCGAUGCGUUUCUGCAGUUUUGCGUGGAGGUGACGCGCAAGCACCUUUCGCAAGGCGCACCGCUACGCUGUGUGCUGGCUACGACAGAAAACUUGCAUCGUCUCGGCUGUCGUGACACAGCCUUCUUCGCCGAUGUGGCGGCGUACAUCGCAGCCAAGCGCGCUGCCGCACCUGCCGAGAAGGAAAGCGCCGACACUGCCACGGCGGUGUGCGCCGCUCUCGGAGAGCACUUGCUGGGAGAGUACCCUGAGGUGCGCGAGUUCUUGCUGGACGUGGCGCAGCGCGGUGUGAGGGGGGAGUCCGCUAUGUCGCCGACGCAGUGGAUGAACUUGCAUGACCCCUCGAAUGCUCUCACCCCCCUGACGGAGCAACAGCGGGAGAGCUGGGACAUUGUGGAGGAGAUGGUGCGCACCCGCUCGGACGACGCGGAUGCGCUUGUUCGGCUGGCGGAGAAGUACAUGGAGCUGCUACCGUUCGCGCGCCCCGAUGACCACAAGUACUUUUUUGGCGUGUGCGAGGAAAAGGUGCUCAAGCAGGAUAAGUUGCUGAAGAAGUGCCUAGACACGAUCGUUGACUGCGGUGUCGUGAACCGUCUGUCCGCACAGACGGUCGCAUCGAUCCUGCAUAGUCUCGCUGCGAUCCGCUUCGAGUACUUCGCAUCCGUGAAGCGCUUCAUGUCAAGCAUCAGUGAUGAGCAGUGGCUUUUGAUGGAGGCUGCGCCGCUAGUACAGAUCCUCACCGGCAUGGAUAAGCUCUCUCUCCGAACACCGACGGUGCUGCGCCGCAUUGGUGGACGCCUGACGGAGGUUUGCCGCUUCCUGACACCGUUGGACACUGCGCAGGCGAUUCAUGCGCUGCAGGCGUUGGGCCACAACGAUGCCAAGCUGCUAGGAAAGCUUGCCGCCCACGCUGCGGCGUUGGCUCGACGAUUCGACGAGGCCAGCAUGGCAGUGCUCUUCAGCACACCCUCAAUCCACAGACUGAUGAGCACGCCUGAAGUGGCGCGACCUCUUCUCCUACAAGCAAGUGCGAAGAUCCAGUCGCAACACCGGCGUGAGAAGAUAUCGGCGUGGGUGCGCCGCUCUGGCUUGCCGCGCGAGCUGAUCGAUGAAAGUACGAGGCGCCUUCAGGUGACGAGCAGGGAUGCCAGGUCCACGGAGGCUCGUCUUCGUCUCACCUAAGAAGGGUGCAAUUAUGUAGGCUGAUUCACAGGGCACUC